rnacentral:misc_RNA from 1 species
UUUCCGUAGGUGAACCUGCGGAAGGAUCAUUCAUAAUAAAGUGUUUUAUGGCACUUUUUAAAAAUCCAUAUCCACCUUGUGUGCAAUGUUUGAUCUCGUCAAUCUUGGCGAGAUUUUUAUACAUCAACUCAUUCUUUAACUAAUUUGUCUGAAAAAUAUUAUGAAUACUUAAUUCAAAAUACAACUUUCAACAACGGAUCUCUUGGCUCUC